rnacentral:rRNA from 1 species
UACGGGGGGGGGCAAGCGUUGUUCGGAAUUACUGGGCGUAAAGGGCUCGUAGGCGGCCAACUAAGUCAGACGUGAAAUCCCCAGGCUCAACCUGGGAACUGCGUCUGAUACUGGAUGGCUUGAAUCCGGGAGAGGGAUGCAGAAUUCUAGGUGUAGCGGUGAAAUGCGUAGAUAUCUGGAGGAAUACCGGUGGCGAAGGCGGCAUCCUGGACCGGCAUUGACGCUGAGGAGCGAAAGCCAGGGGAGCAAACGGG